AUUGAACGCUGGCGGCAGGCUUAACACAUGCAAGUCGAGCGGGGGAAGGUAGCUUGCUACCGGACCUAGCGGCGGACGGGUGAGUAAUGCUUAGGAAUCUGCCUAUUAGUGGGGGACAACAACUCGAAAGAGAUGCUAAUACCGCAUACGUCCUACGGGAGAAAGCAGGGGAUCUUCGGACCUUGCGCUAAUAGAUGAGCCUAAGUCGGAUUAGCUAGUUGGUGGGGUAAAGGCCUACCAAGGCGACGAUCUGUAGCGGGUCUGAGAGGAUGAUCCGCCACACUGGGACUGAGACACGGCCCAGACUCCUACGGGAGGCAGCAGUGGGGAAUAUUGGACAAUGGGGGGAACCCUGAUCCAGCCAUGCCGCGUGUGUGAAGAAGGCCUUAUGGUUGUAAAGCACUUUAAGCGAGGAGGAGGCUACUUUAGUUAAUACCUAGAGAUAGUGGACGUUACUCGCAGAAUAAGCACCGGCUAACUCUGUGCCAGCAGCCGCAGUAA
rnacentral:rRNA from 1 species